rnacentral:lncRNA from 1 species
AGACCUAUGAAGGUCGAAGGGGAAGAAAAGCUGUAUCGAUUGUUGAGAUCUGGCGACUUGUUUAAAUUUCAUCAGCCUCACUUCUAUGAACUCUCAGGGUCCUCGUAAGAACUUCCAUUUUAUGUUCUUGUCUUCUCAUCAGUUUGAGUUGUGUCUUUAACAUUGGAGAGAAAAACAACUUGCAAGAUUUUCUUUCAGUAUGAACCAUUCUGAGGUCCUUCAAUUCUUUAGCUGAUUACCAACUCCUACCACUGUUAACCCUCAUCCAGGAACAAGCUUAUGUCUUUAACAUUCUGAGUGGGCUUCAGCAUCCUUGCAUAUGUUCAAUUCUUAAAAACCUGUUGAAAUAAAAGAUCAGGAGACAUAGGAAGGAUGCCAGAAGAGAGCGUGGCCUCACGUGUACCAGCUCUCUGCUCUCCUUUGCCUUGGGACGUUCCAUCCCUGGAAGUUUCCCUGCCCACAUCUUUGUAGAGAGUCCAUUCUCCAAGCUUCAGUGUGUCAUCUGUGAGGACCGUGACCCACCUGGUACAUCGCCUCAGGGCAUUCAUUUCAGGCUCCUUCUAAAUGGCCAAGGUAAACCUCAGGUUCUCCUCCUGCCUUUUGCUAAGUAUAUGUCUUGAUGACAAGCCUUCUGCUGAUGAGCUGUGUUUCUGGACCGAUCAUGGUAGAAGUCAAUUAACGUGUCCCUCACUUGGGGUUUCUCAAGGCUGCACUGAUGAGGAAACUGAAACAGAAAAUCCAGAGUAAAUUCCACCAGGCCACACAGCAAGGUCUGAUAGAGCCAGGAGAGACUUUAUGAAAUCCAGACUCUCACACUAAUGCUCUAUCAGCUAGACCUCCAUGUGAGUCUCCCCAAUGUAGGUAGGAAGUGCUUUCCCUAAAAUGCUCAUAAAGCAAAUCAGAGCAAUGCUGCAUUCCAUGUGAUUUCUAAUUUGAAAUGCAAACAAUUGCCAAUUUGUUUGACUUGUAUUUAUAAUUAUUUCCUUGUGAAUUACUCAUCACUAAAUGCUUUAUAAAUAUUUUCUCUUUUUUUCCUCAAUGUCUAUGGAAUGAUCACAGCAUAGAAAAUGUUGGCUUUCAAGGAUUUAUUAAUAUCUCCUUUUGAAAUAACAUGUAUUUGUAAGACAGAAUAAAAUCACUUUAAAGAAACAAA